UUCUUUUACAUUCCGCUCGUAGCCAUGCUCUGCAAGAAACGAUCAUAAGAAAGUAGAUGCUUUGGAAGUGGCUUUCUUAUCCUUCAAAUAUUUACCACAAUCUUGUCAAUUACCGUUGCUUCCGUUAUCUUCAAAUAUGGUUUCUUUUUCAUUCCCGUCAAAUCAACCAUAACAUCGGUCCCAGCAAGAGACAGACCUCUCAAUUUCCACAAAGACUACAACUCAGAAGAAAAUAAAUCUAAUCAGCCCACCUUGACCUUCCUCCCUCCUAAGAAACCCCCAUCCAUCAUCUCCCCUCCCCUUCCCCUCUGGAAUCCCAAAGCCAUGGACUGGUACUCUUGGCUCUCCAAAUCCAAUCUCGAGCACGGCCUUAUCUAUGAUUACUCCCUCAUCUUCUCCCAUAAUGAGCUUGAGGAAGAGGACAUCAUCCACUUCAACCAUGAGCUCCUCCAAAGCAUGGGCAUCUCCAUAGCCAAGCAUAGGCUGGAGAUACUCAGGCUAGCCAAGAAGUCGAAGGCCAAGUCUCCAUGGCCCGUCGCAAGGCUCUUCGCUGCGAUCGACAAGACCAAGAACUGCCUGGCCAGGUACAUCCACUCGCUGGUCCACCGAGAUAAUUCGGCGAUCGUGGUUGUCCCAAGGCCUUCAUAUGGUGGUGCAAGGUGGAAGGGAGCCAUGCUGAAGAGGAGCAAGAGGCUGCUGCCAUUGAAGCAGGGAAGGCUGAUGCUCGUUGAAGGUGGUGUAGAGGUUGCCGGCCGGAAUUCUGCCUCAUAUAGCGCAAGAUCGAUGGCCCACAACAAUUGGAAGAGAGAAAAAGGUGGCGAUGGAGAUGGCUUUUGGGGUGGCAGCACUAAGGAGAUCAGGUGGGACUCCAUGUUUCAGGACUUGAAGCCAACUUGAGCUCAUGAAGCAGGGCUUCUCCUCGUGUUGUCUCCUUUAGGAGCCAUGAGAGAUUGCUGUGCUUAAUUGGGAGGAGGCCGAGCUCAUGAAGAGACAAAGCUCAUCAGGAGGUCGAGCUCAUCAGAAAGCCGACUUCAUCAAAAGAUCGAAUUUAUCAGAAGGCCGACGUUAUUAGAAGAUUGAACUCAUCAGGAGACCGACGUUUAGCACCAACCUCUUCAGCUCUCCAGUUUGAUUCAGCACCAACUUCACCGUUUUUCUUUCGGAGCCUUGCAACAAUACAUCCUACGUAGAUAGAGCACUCACUGAUCAAUUUACCAUAUGAAUAACAAGAUCAUUGGGAGUGAAAUCCCUGGAGAUCCUAUCCAUAUUUAAUUUUUAAUCAGUGAAUCAAAGGCUAUAUGUGCCUGCAAACAUCAACAGAUCGCCAUUAGACAAGAUCAUGAGCGCACCAGAUGAAGUCUUCAUGCCGGUCAGCAAUCAUAAAAGCAAUUGAAAGAUUGCCCUGAGAUGCGGGUUAUCUGUUAAUUAAGUUUUAUUUCUUGAAUGAAGUCUGUUACUUAAGUGCCCUGCUCUCGAUGUGACUCUGCACUCACUAAUGUAGUUGGGGAGUCUGAAUCAAAUGUCAUCUGCAAAAUUUUGUUGGUUAGACCUUCUGAAGUUUCUAAAACUUUAACAAACUAGAGCUCUAACAGAACCAUAUUGAAUUCAAAGACCAACUGCUUCUUCUAAAAGUUACCAUCUGAAAGGUCUCCAUCAGUCCCUUAAACCCAUUACCUAGGGAAGCAGGCUAGCAGUUUAGUCCACUUAAAUUACCGGUCAACACUGACUAAUUAACUGAGAAAAGAAGCAAUCAAUUCGACUGUGAACAAUCCGGAAAACUAAAUUUAGAACAUGGCCAACUACCAAGAUCAUGC